GUAUGUUCAUCUGUUUAUACAAUUGCCUGCAAUAAAUUACAGUCUAACAAACAAAAUAUACUUUGCCAACAACAACACAUAAUGGCCCCUAAUAUAAAAAACUCAAAGAUCUCAGUCUCAGAAGUUCAAUUGGGAAAAAAUAUCUAAAAGAAGUAUUGUCCUAAAAUGUCCUACCACCCCUGUUUUCUUACGACUGCUUUGACACAAAAAUGUCAAAUAACACAGUUAGUGAAACCUGACACUCAAGGAGCAAAACACAAGCCCAGACCUGCACAACUAUAAGCACAUUGUCAGACUCACACUAUUUGCAAAAUACUACACAGUGUUUCCCUGUGUCCCGUAUCCCUCAACACACUUUUCUACAUUAGACACAGACAUUUUAGAUUAUGUCACUUAAUUGCCUUUUUAGACACUGCCUUAAAAAACGCCACAAAUGUGAACACACUGAUCAAACUCGGGCGACAUUGAGAGGCUGGACCGAGAGUUCAGCUCAACCUCAGCCGAUAAACUGUCCAACAUCAGUAAUACGGACAUUUCGCCAAGAGCACAGUUUUGCAAAUGGAUGCUGAUGCAAUCCGGCAUGAAUUCAUACUCUUAGAUGAGGCUGAGUUUAACCUGACAAAGGUUAGAAGAAGAGGGAGAAACCUCAUCGACCACAGAGCUUUUCUGCAUGUUCCGGCCCAACGUGGUGGUAACAUCACAAUGUGCGCCGCAAUCACGCAGAAUGGGGUCCUCCACCGCCACGCCAAGUUAGAUCCAAACAACACAAACCACAGGCCACAUGGCUUUGUCACACCAGAAGACCAGAUAGAGGCAGAGCAGAUGAGAUACGUUGUCAUCGGGGACCAUGUAUCUUAUCACCGAUCUGCUCAGGUCCAAGACUAGUUUCAACAGCACCCAUCAUUUUCAGUUCAGUACCUUCCACCAAACUCUCCCUUCCUUAACCCCAUUGAGGAGUUUCUCUCUGCACGGUGGUGGAAGGUUUACGAUCUCCAGCCCCAUGUCAGGAUACCCCUCAUUCAAGCCAUGGAGGAGGCGUGCAACCAGACUGAUGCAGGGUCUGUGCAAGGAUGGAUUCGCCAUUCAAGAAGAUUCUUCACUCGCUGUCUGGAGAGAGAGAACGUAGCCUGCGAUGUGGACAAAGAGCGACGGCCCGAUCCAGCUAGGCGAAGAGAUGAUGCCUAGGA
ensembl:lncRNA